AUUGAACGCUGGCGGCAGGCCUAACACAUGCAAGUCGAACGGUAACAGGAAGCAGCUUGCUGCUUUGCUGACGCGUGGCGGACGGGUGAGUAAUGUCUGGGAAACUGCCCGAUGGAGGGGGAUAACUACUGGAAACGGUAGCUAAUACCGCAUAACGUCGCAAGACCAAAGAGGGGGACCUUAGGGCCUCUUGCCAUCGGAUGUGCCCAGAUGGGAUUAGCUAGUAGGUGGGGUAACGGCUCACCUAGGCGACGAUCCCUAGCUGGUCUGAGAGGAUGACCAGCCACACUGGAACUGAGACACGGUCCAGACUCCUACGGGAGGCAGCAGUGGGGAAUAUUGCACAAUGGGCGCAAGCCUGAUGCAGCCAUGCCGCGUGUAUGAAGAAGGCCUUCGGGUUGUAAAGUACUUUCAGCGGGGAGGAAGGGAGUAAAGUUAAUACCUGUGCUCAUUGACGUUACCCGCAGAAGAAGCACCGGCUAACUCCGUG
rnacentral:rRNA from 1 species